GUCCUUGCGGAGCAGUCCGGAGUGCUCGCCACCCUGUCACGGUGGAGAUCGUGGGUUCAAAUCGCAUCGAGGACGC
rnacentral:tRNA from 1 species